UACGAAGGGGGCUAGCGUUGCUCGGAAUCACUGGGCGUAACGCGCACGUAGGCGGGUCUUUGAGUCGGGUGUGAAAUCCUGGAGCUCAACUCCAGAACUGCCUUCGAUACUGAGGAUCUCGAGUCCGGGAGAGGUGAGUGGAACUCCGAGUGUAGAGGUGAAAUUCGUAGAUAUUCGGAAGAACACCAGUGGCGAAGGCGGCUCACUGGCCCGGUACUGACGCUGAGGUGCGAAAGCGUGGGGAGCAAACAGG
rnacentral:rRNA from 1 species